rnacentral:rRNA from 1 species
CAGCCGCCGCGGUAAUACCGGCGGCCCGAGUGGCGGUCACUAUUAUUGGGCUUAAAGCGUCCGUAGCCGGGUUGGGAAGUCCUCCGGGAAAUCUGGCCGCUUAACGGUCAGAAUGCCGGAGGAUACUCCCAGCCUAGGGAGCGGGAGAGGCCGAGGGUAUUCCCGGAGUAGGGGUGAAAUCCUAUAAUCCCGGGAGGACCACCUGUGGCGAAGGCGCUCGGCUGGAACGCGUCCGACGGUGAGGGACGAAGGCCAGGGGAGCAAACCGGAUUAGAUACCCGGGUAGUCCUGGCUGUAAACGAUGCCCACUAGGUGUGGGGGAGUAUUUCCUCCGUGCUGUAGCUAACGCGUUAAGUGGGCCGCCUGGGGAGUACGCCCGCAAGGGUGAAACUUAAAGGAAUUGGCGGG